GGGAGUGGAUCGGUGCUGGUGUGCCGCCUGGUCUUCAAAACCAGUGAGACCCCCAAAGGGUCUGGUGGGUUCGAUUCCUACACAUUCCCGCCA
rnacentral:tRNA from 1 species